GGGAGCAUAGCUCAGUUGGUUUAGAGCAUCUGCCUUACAAGCAGAGGGUCGGGGGUUCGACUCCCUCUGCUCCCACUA
rnacentral:tRNA from 1 species